rnacentral:rRNA from 1 species
CUACGGGGGGCACCAGUGAGGAAUAUUGCACAAUGGGGGGAACCCUGAUGCAGCAACGCCGCGUGGAGGAUGACGCAUUUCGGUGUGUAAACUCCUUUUAUAUGUCAAGAAAAUGACGGUAGCAUAUGAAUAAGCACCGGCUAACUCCGUGCCAGCAGCCGCGGUAAUACGGAGGGUGCAAGCGUUACUCGGAAUCCUGGGCGUAAAGGACGCGUAGGCGGGUUGGAAAGUCAGGUGUGAAAUCCUACAGCUUAACUGUAGAACUGCACUUGAAACUUCUAAUCUAGAGCAUGGGAGGGGGAGAUGGAAUUAGUGGUGUAGGGGUAAAAUCCGUAGAUAUCACUAGGAAUACCUAAAGCGAAGGCGAUCCCCUGGAACAUUACUGACGCUAAGGCGUGAAAGCGUGGGGAGCAAACAGGAUUAGAUACCCCCGUAGUC